rnacentral:rRNA from 1 species
CAGAAAGCCACGGCUAACUACGUGCCAGCAGCCGCGGUAAUACGUAGGUGGCAAGCGUUAUCCGGAAUUAUUGGGCGUAAAGCGCGCGUAGGCGGUUUUUUAAGUCUGAUGUGAAAGCCCACGGCUCAACCGUGGAGGGUCAUUGGAAACUGGAAAACUUGAGUGCAGAAGAGGAAAGUGGAAUUCCAUGUGUAGCGGUGAAAUGCGCAGAGAUAUGGAGGAACACCAGUGGCGAAGGCGACUUUCUGGUCUGUAACUGACGCUGAUGUGCGAAAGCGUGGGGAUCAAACAGGAUUAGAUACCCUGGUAGUCCACGCCGUAAACGAUGAGUGCUAAGUGUUAGGGGGUUUCCGCCCCUUAGUGCUGCAGCUAACGC